rnacentral:rRNA from 1 species
AACAGCUCAAAUUUGAAAUCUGGCCCUUUUAGGGUCCGAGUUGUAAUUUGCAGAGGAUGCUUCGGGUCCGGCUCCGGUCUAAGUUCCUUGGAACAGGACGUCAUAGAGGGUGAGAAUCCCGUAUGUGACCGGCCGCCACGCCCGUGUGAAGCUCCUUCGACGAGUCGAGUUGUUUGGGAAUGCAGCUCAAAAUGGGUGGUAAAUUUCAUCUAAAGCUAAAUAUUGGCCAGAGACCGAUAGCGCACAAGUAGAGUGAUCGAAAGAUGAAAAGCACUUUGGAAAGAGAGUCAAACAGUACGUGAAAUUGUUGAAAGGGAAGCGCUUGCAACCAGACUUGCCCGCGGGUGAUCAGCCGGUAUUCUUACCGGUGCACUCGCCCGUGGUCAGGCCAGCAUCGGUUUGGGCGGUUGGAUAAAGGCCACCGGAAUGUAGCUCCUCUCGGGGAGUGUUAUAGCCGGAGGUGCCAUGCAGCCCGCCCGGACCGAGGACCGCGCUUCGGCUAGGAUGCUGGCGUAAUGGUUGUAAGCGACCCGUCUUGAAACACGGACCAAGGAGUCUAACAUCUAUGCGAGUGUUUGGGUGUCAAACCCAUGCGCGUAAUGAAAGUGAACGGAGGUGGGAGCCCUGAAGGGUGCACCAUCGACCGAUCCUGAUGUCUUCGGAUGGAUUUGAGUAAGAGCAUAGCUGUUGGGACCCGAAAGAUGGUGAACUAUGCCUGAAUAGGGUGAAGCCAGAGGAAACUCUGGUGGAGGCUCGCAGCGGUUCUGACGUGCAAAUCGAUCGUCAAAUUUGGGUAUAGGGG